rnacentral:rRNA from 1 species
CAGCCGCCGCGGGAAUACGUAGGGUGCAAGCGUUAAUCGGAAUUACUGGGCGUAAAGCGUGCGCAGGCGGUUUGUUAAGACAGAUGUGAAAUCCCCGGGCUCAGCCUGGGAACUGCAUUUGUGACUGGCAAGCUAGAGUGUGGCAGAGGGGGGUGGAAUUCCGCGUGUAGCAGUGAAAUGCGCAGAUAUGCGGAGGAACACCGAUGGCGAAGGCAGCCCCCUGGGCCAACACUGACGCUCAUGCACGAAAGCGUGGGGAGCAUACAGGAUUAGAUACCCGAGUAGUCCCUGUCUCUUAUAC